ACGGCCGUACCAUGCUGAAUAUACCGGUUCUCGUUAGAUCACCGAAGUCAAGCAUCAUUGGGCGCGGUCAGUACAUGGGUGGGUGUCCACCUGGGAACACCGCGUGCCGUU
rnacentral:rRNA from 1 species